AAAGGCAUGAUAUAGACAAAAGAACAAUAGCACAGCUUUACAUAGAGGAAACCCCCCUCCCAGCAUGGCUUCGUCCUCACUCGGAAUAUACACACACAGAUACAAUCAGGAAAGGGGAUUCUUCUUCUUCAAUCAAAGACGAGCAUCAACCGUCUUCAUCACCUUGAAAAUUCCCCAAAAAUCAGACCCUUCAGCCGUGACACCAAAAAGGAUCCGCCGCUUAACACCCAAAAACGACCUCACCCCCUGAUUUCACCUUCUUCGGCCACUAAACCAGAUAAAAUCUCCGUGAAACAGUCCGAAAGGUAUCGUCCAAAAUAGAGCAAAUCAGAGGUGCCGAUUCAAGGUCCGUUUCUGAAUUUUGUCGCGGUUCCGACGAGUUUUGUGUCUGGUUGGUAAUUUCUGUUCGAGGUCUCCGGUGAAGUUUUUGGUUCUACGGUUCAAGGACAUCAUGUGAAUGAAAUUUGAAGAAGUUCAUGUGGGAGUUCCCUGUUACUACUGAAAUUCGAAUUUGACUUGUAAUGGCUUGGAAAUUGAACUAACUAAAGAAAUAUUGCUCAGAUCGAUAUAUGUCUUCCAAUGUCGGACACUAGAGUUGAUUAAUGUUGCGACAUUAGGAGACUUCAAGAUGAUGAGGAAACGCACUGCUGGAUCCAACGAUCGGGCAGCCGCACCCAUUGCUAGAGCCGCAAGAAGCCUGGGCCGGGUCCGAGGUAGAGGACGAGGUGGGCAGGUGGUGCAUCCAAAGCACCUACCCGAGCUAUGACAGAGGAGUCACUAGUAGCUCCAAUAGGGGGACAGACACCCAAGGCACCUAUCGCCACCACAGCACUUUCGGAGACCCUUGCAUAGUUCUUGAAUAAGUUUGGUACCUUAGCUCAGGUAAGGUUGAUUCCACUUGUAGCAGCCACAUCUCAGGCUUUGGAGGAGCUUACACUCCCGCGACCCAUACCCCAGAGUAGCGGGUCCAUAUUGAUCAGGUCUCAAAGGUUAUACCAGUACAACAUAUUGUUCCAGUUCAGCCAGCAUUUAGGGCAGCUGUAUUUGAGGAGGAGUAGCUUAGACUUUAGAGGUUCAAGAAGUAUCACCUACCUACUUUCAGUUGUUUGGAUUCAGAGGAUACAUAUGAGUUUUUAGAGGAGUUGCACCGUAUUUACCACACAAUGGGUAUUGUGGAGACUAGCAGGAUUGCUUUUAUUACUUUCCAGUUGUCAUGAGCAACAUAUCAGUGGUGGAGGGUGUACAAGGAGGGUAGCCCAGCCGAUGUAGCUUCACUUACAUGGACUCAGUUUUACGAGUUAUUCUUGAGAGAGUUUGUUCUUUAGGCCUUUAGGGAUGUAUAGGGCAUGGAGUUUGAGCUGAUACGCCAUAGGACAAUAAUAGUGUUAGAGUAUGCGAUCUGAUUCAGUGAUUUGUCCAUACAUGCCCCUUCUUUGGUUUAUACAAUCAGAUAGCGAGUCUGUCGAUUCAUUGAAUGGCUCAAUUAUGAUAUUAGAUUCAUUAUAGAUCGAGAGUUAGAGACAGAUACCCCAUGUAAGAAAGUGGUAGAGAUUGCAUGUAGGUUGGAGGGUAUGCGGGCUCGUGAGAGAGAGGAUAGGGAGGUCAAGAGGCCUUGAGAUACUGGAGGAUUUAGUGGUAGCCAUGCUAUAGCUACAACCCAUCAUGGUAGAGGUUAUGUGAGCCAACCAGUUCACUCAGCACUUCCAGCUUCUAGUGGUGCUUUGGUUAUUCCGAGAUCUUAGGUUGCACACUUUGCUCAGCCAUUUUCUAGUACACCUCCUGCACGGGGUGCAUUCAGCGGUCAGUCCAGCUGAUCAAGACCGAGCCAAUCCUAACAGCCAUGCCUAUUAAGAGAUUUCUUUGAGUGUGGUAAUACCCGUCACAUUGUUAAAUACUAUCCUAGACAUAUGAGGGGUGCACUUCUACAGACUACUUAGGCUCCACGGAUUCAGUCAGGUCUACAGACUUCUUAGGCCAUAGUUUCUACCCCAGUUAUCGCUCCACCCACACAGCUAGCUAGGGUUAGGGAACAGGCGGGUAGAGGUCCCCCUAAAGGAGGGGCCAGGAUAGAUUUUAUGCUUUUCCGGGUAGGACAGAGGCAGUUGCUUCAAACGCAGUCAUUAUAGGUAUGUUUCAGGUUUUCCAUUAAGAUGCAUCAAUCUUAUUUGAUCCGGGAUCCACUUAUUCAUUUGUGUCAUCUUAUUUUUCUCUGUAUUUAGGUAUAUCUCAUGAUUCAUUGAGUUCUCUUGUUUAUAUGUCCAUGAUUGUGGGAGAUUUUAUUAUUGUGAACUGUGUGUAUCAGUCGUGUUAUUUGUUAUUAGUG